rnacentral:rRNA from 1 species
AACGAACGCUGGCGGCAUGCCUAACACAUGCAAGUCGAACGAGACCUUCGGGUCUAGUGGCGCACGGGUGCGUAACGCGUGGGAACCUGCCCUUAGGUUCGGAAUAACUCCCCGAAAGGGGUGCUAAUACCGGAUAAUGUCUUCGGACCAAAGAUUUAUCGCCUUUGGAUGGGCCCGCGUUGGAUUAGCUAGUUGGUAGGGUAAAAGCCUAUCAAGGCGACGAUCCAUAGCUGGUCUGAGAGGAUGAUCAGCCACACUGGGACUGAGACACGGCCCAGACUCCUACGGGAGGCAGCAGUGGGGAAUAUUGGACAAUGGGCGAAAGCCUGAUCCAGCAAUGCCGCGUGAGUGAUGAAGGCCUUAGGGUUGUAAAGCUCUUUUACCCGGGAUGAUAAUGACAGUACCGGGAGAAUAAGCUCCGGCUAACUACGUG